UAGGGAAUUUUCCACAAUGGGCGAAAGCCUGAUGGAGCAACGCCGCGUGCAGGAUGAAGGCCCUCGGGUCGUAAACUGCUUUUAUGUGAGAAGAAUAUGACGGUAACACAUGAAUAAGGGUCGGCUAACUACGUGCCAGCAGCCGCGGUCAUACGUAGGACCCAAGCGUUAUCCGGAAUUACUGGGCGUAAAGAGUUGAGUAGGUGGCAUUAUAAGUGGAGCGUGAAAGCGUGCGGCUCAACCGCAUUACUGCGUUCCAAACUGUGAAGCUUGAGUGCGAGAGAGGUAGAUGGAAUUCCCAGUGUAGGAGUGAAAUCCGUAGAUAUUGGGAGGAACACCGAUGGCGUAGGCAGUCUACUGGCUCGUUACUGACACUAAGGCACGAAAGCGUGGGGAUCAAACA
rnacentral:rRNA from 1 species